UUACGGCCAUAUCAGGUUGGAAGGCCGGAUCUCUUACAAUUACCGAAGUUAAGCCAGCCGGAGCCUGGUCAUAUCUAGAUGAGUGACCGCUUCGGAAAACCAGGUGCUGGA